rnacentral:tRNA from 1 species
GGGGCUAUCGCAUAAUGGUAGUGCGCUUCAGUUGCAUUGAUGAUGUAUUGGUUCAAGUCCGAUUAGCUCCA